GGUGCAUAUCUCUGGGAACCAAAUACGGCGGAGGAAGUAAGUGCUGUUGCAACAGCGCUACUAGAUAGCAGUGGUGAUAGAUUUUGGACAGGUGCUACUGAUCAGGGAAACGAAGAUAUGCCUUCUUUUGUACUUGGUUCUGGACUUUCGUUUACUCAAACGGCUGGCAGUGAUGGUCCAAACUCUGACUGUGUUGCAUAUGAACCAACUAACUUUAUCUACAGAACAUG